UUUACGCCUUCCAUGCUCAUCGAUGGGUUUUCAUCUGCUGAUGAUAUCGCAUGCUUCUUACUAUUUGCAUAGAAUGCUUCAUUUCGAAGACCUAGCAAGGCAUGCCUUUCUCCAGGUGUGACAUGUUUUCUCCGUGACUUAUUACUAACAUCCAUGUCAGGCGUCACCUCCCCUGACAUUUGCUAUGCAAUAGGUUCGAUAUAUAUAGGUGUUCCACUGAAAUCGGGGAUAUGCCAAUCACAUGUGGGUAUGAAGCCUUGAGUAUCAGGAGUAUGAAUAACCCCAGGGGUCCAACAUGGGUUCUCCAUGGCUAUGGAUUCUUUACUCAGACUGUUGCUUCGUAACUCUCGGAGAGCUUUAUUACCACGCUUUUUCUUAGGACUCAUAUCGGCAUAACGGAGCCUAUCCCUUGCACGCAGUUUUUCAAUGUUCUCUGAUAACAUGAAUAAUAAAAUGCUUGUAAGCACGAGUGCAUGUAGCUAUGAAGAAAUCAUCAAUAACAAAUCGCUUACCUGAUAAUGAUCUCUUUUGUUGAUAAGUUGCAUUUCUUCUUGCUAGUAGUUCAUUUUUACCAUCGGUAUUCAUUUGUGCAUAUCUCUCCCUUUCCCGCUCCCUUUUCUUCUCCGUGCAAUCAACAACGGGUGGCUGAAUGCGGGAUGACGUGGGUUCAUUACUACCGCAGUUCUCCAUGUUAGCUAGAAUAAGCAAACCACAUUAAUAAUAAGCAAUAUAUUUUUUUUUAUAUCAUUCUAUAUGGCAAAGCAACUUCACACAGUAAACAUGAAUAAGUUGCAAUCAUACCAGUAGGGAUGAUUGUUUGCCCUUGAAAUGGCAUAUGAAUUGACUGCCUCUUAUAGUUGUCAUUUCUUCUUAGCCAUUCAUCAUCUUCUGAAGGAACUUCAGUUUCCUUGUUCGCUAAAGGAACUUCAUUUUCCUUGUUAACUGAGUUUGAUGAUUUUCGUUUUUGAACAGAUUCACGUUGUUUUUUCAGAAAGUUUUCUUUUUUUGUGCUAUCCAUAUGUGCAUAUCGCUCCCUAGCUUGUUGCCUCCUCCGCUCCUUUGGACAUAUGGGUGUUGCGUGAACACUCAAUGAAGUGGGUCCAUCAGUACAACUAUUAUAGGUGUCAACAUUUUCUACACAGAAAAAUAUCAUAUAUGUAGCUACAUUAGAUAUGAACUAUUAGAUAGUUGCACUAUUUUUUUUGUAGAGAAAUUAGGUGCCUACAUACCAGUCACGAGACUCUGUUGCCCCUGGUAUGCCUCAUUUUCAGCAGCUACAACAUUUUCUAUGUUUGUAGCAGUGUCUCCUUAUCAAAACAAAAGGAGCGUGUGAUUUAGUUGCAUUAUAUACAUGAAUUAAACAUAGGAGCUAUAAAUUGCAAAAACCCAACAUGUGGUUUAGUGCACCUUUAACAGCGGGUGUGCUUUCUAGUUGAGUGAGUGCAGAUGGACCUCCACUUGACUCUUGCGUGCCUGUAACAGAUUGUGUGCUUUGUAGUUUAGCUUUCUUCCGCUGAUAGGAUUCACGACGCUUCUUAAGUAGCUCCUCUUUCUUUUGUGGAUCCAUCAGUGCAUAUAUCUGUCGACGUUGUCUAUUGCGUUCUUUCCCAUCUAUAGGUUCCCCUCCAUUACUGGUGUCCGCGACACCUAAUAAAAUAAACAAUGUAAUCAGUUGUUGAGCAUUGGUUGAUUGACUUACACAUUAUAUAUCAUUGUAGUUACUUGUGGUGAUGCUGUUGGACAAGUCUUUGAACGGACUACGUUCACUCGAUCGUUUCGACGGAUCCAUCUGCAAGUUAGACGGAGGAAACAUGAAUGAUUCGUCGAACUUACCAGAGAUCAAAUCGAUAUGUCGACGGGACCUUCGAAAUUUCCACUUGCAUAUGUCUUGGUUUGCUGGCCGUGCUAAUUGUCUGGGAAAGUAGAACAAAAUCUGGAUAUAUCUAAAGCUUGCAAUGUGAUUUGUUUCGCUGGAAGGUAAUAUG